GCUCUCUCUUCAACUGGCUCUUCUGCUCUUUCCUCGACACCCUUUGACCAACUGUCAUCAGUUUUUGAAAAAUCCAUGUGGUGCAGUGUGUGACGGUUGAUGGUGUCAGAAUGAGACAACCUAGUAACUGUCUCUCCCUCAAAACUGACUCCGAACCUCCUAAAGACUAUGGUGAGUGUCAUACCAUAAGGCAAGUGAGCCCUAGACCUGUUCAGGGUCUCUCUCAUGGCUUCAAACAUCAAAGCAGGAAGGUUCAAGGAGGUCUGAGUGAUCAUAUGGUACAUGAUGUAAAUAUCCCUACC
rnacentral:lncRNA from 1 species